GACGAACCGUGCGAACGUUGUUCGGAAUCACUGGGCUUAAAGGGCGCGUAGGCGGUUACGCAAGUCUGUGGUGAAAGCCUCCAGCUUAACUGGAGAAGUGCCAUGGAUACUGCGCAUCUUGAGGAGGGUAGGGGCGUCUGGAACGGUCGGUGGAGCGGUGAAAUGCGUUGAUAUCGACCGGAACUCCGGUGGCGAAGGCGGCCCUCUGGACGGUGACUGACGCUGAGACGCGAAAGCGUGGGGAGCAAACAGG
rnacentral:rRNA from 1 species